rnacentral:lncRNA from 1 species
UUUGAGACAAACGUCUCUUGUUUUUUCUUUCUUUCAUUAUAGAGUAUUUUGUAAGAGAUUGAGUGUUGGAAAAUACUUGUGUAAAUCUUUUUUUUGGAAUAAUCUUGUAAGGUUAUUCUUUUGCGGGAUUUGGGACUAAUUAGAGUAUCUACUCUUAUUUUAUAAUCUCUUUUGUACUCUUGUUGGUAUAGUGAAAUUGUUUCUUUUCGCAUGUGAACGUAGGUCACAUUGACCGAACAACGUUAAAUUGGGUCAAACCGGCACGGUUUCACCAAAAGGCCUUACACUUGUAAGUUAUCCUUACAUCUUAUAUGUAAUCUUUCAAUCUUUUCAGCUACCAUUGUAAAAUUUUAUUCACACGCCCAAUAUACUUGCUAAAAUUAGAUGAUAAUCAUUAAAACAUAUUAAAAGAGUAGUUAUCAACAGAUCAACCAACUAUCGUAUGAUCUCAUUUUAAACAAUAAAAAAUAGGUUUGUAUGAAGACUAAAGAGAUUAUUAAAUUGUAUUUGUAUCAAUGCAUCACAUACCGCUUAUAUAUAAUCAUCGAGUUUCCUGCACUGUUUUUGGUAUCUUUAAUCCUAGCUUUCACUUCCAGAUAAUUUCAACUUUUUCCUCACAACUUCUACCUAAUUAUUAUAUGUAGAAUAUUGGACACGUUAAAGGUGUAUAUUAUUGCACUAUCGAUACACAUCCAUAUUUCUUAUGACAACCUCUUCAUUAUCAAAUCUCUAAAAAUUUAAAAUAUUUAAUUUUUCAAUUUUGUCUUAUUUGAAAAUCUUUGGAUAAUUGUGAUAUAUUAUUUUUGUGCCACUUGUUUAUUUUAGGUAUUAAGUCACACAGUAAACAAUAAUUUUCAUAAAAUAUUCCCAAAGAAGUCCUCAAAAAUUACUAUAAGGCUCUGAGGGCUUCGAAGGGUAGGAUUUAUUUCUUAUUUUGUUAGCUAAAUGGAAUCAACAUUCAUCAUUUUAAGAAUAUAUAUUUUUGCUUUAAAUUUCAUUUCAUAACUUAAACAAAUCGUUUAAUAAUAUUUAUAUAAUCCAUUAAAAUUAUGUAUUCAUGAAUAUGGGUUUAUAGUAUGAAAUUUAUAGGGUUUUUUUAUAUUUGUACAUAUUUCACUGGUAAUAAAAAAAUUCUAAUUGCCAAAAACAAUAUAUUUAUAUAUAUAGUAAAAAUAUUAUUUAAUUAAGGAGUACAUUGUUAAUGUAUACUUUAUUUAAAUCUUAUUUUGAUUGUCUUGGGUGGCGUAACCUGGUUGUAAUUGUUGCAACUCAUUCCUCAUGUGGUAGCCAAGCAAGACAGGACCCUAUAUACAACUCAGGUAUGGUGUCUCUAAACCUUAAAUCUAAACCUAAUAUAUGAAUAAAAUUUGGACGGUUUAUUGGAGUAUAUUAGAUCAUAUCGUUUUAACAAAAUUUUAAUUGUCACAUCUUGCUUCUAAAUAUAAUGUACCUUAUAAUAAAAUUUGUACGAAAUUAUUGGAAAUGAAUAGAGUCAUUAAAUAACUUGACUGAACGCAUAACCUUUUUUAGUCAUAGGUUGUUAAUUAUUUCUAGACUAUAUAUCCAUUUUGAUAAUAAUUAUUCAAACACAUUGCAAAUAUAUUGGAUGAGUAGUUAACAGCGUAACUACCACAUGAUCUCAUUUGAUAUAUACACAAUGGAAAAAUAUAUUGUAUGAAAACUAAACGAAACUAACUAAAUGCAUCAUUAAAAUGUAUAAUUGUUAUCACAUACUGCUUAAAAUCAUCUAAUUAGUUGCCAGCAUGGUUUUUAUAAUAUACCAGCUUUCACUUCCAGAUAAUAACAACUUUUUGUUUUCAUUACAUCUACCACCAAAAAGUCAUAGGAUAUUAGGGAAAAUGGCACUGUAUAACAGCUUUCAAAAUAAUAGUCAAAAAAAUACAUAUUUGUUGCAUUUUUUAUAUAUAAAUUUUUGUAUGUUAUACACAAAACAUAUACAAAUUUAUACACUUUUACGGCUACUGGAUAUAAAUAAUUUUGACCGUAAACUAAAAAUGAUCUUUGCCCUCGCAUAUAUCUCAGUUCGUUGACUAUUUAUUUAGAUUAUUUAGUACCUUAAACAUAUCCAAGAAAUUAAGUUGGAUAUCCAUACAAUUCAAGACAUCUUAAAGGUCUUAUUUCAUUGAUCAUCAAUACACAUCCUUAUUCUUAAGACAAAAAUAGAGAAACAAUAGACCUAUUAAAUACAAUAAAAUAGGAAAUUACAAAAUGAAAGUCAACGCGCAAAACUCCAAAAUUAAUGUGAAUAAUGUCGGACUAUAACAUUAUACUCAACAACAGCAUCCCCACUGGUUAAAUUAAACCAAACGGUCUUUGCAGUGGCAAUUCCCUGAGCUAGCCGGAAAACACCAGAACCGCCGAUGAUCGGCAUUUCACGGUACUGAUUAAACACAGGAUUCCGGCCAAGAACACUAAGUGUACUACCAUUGUACUUACCAGUUGUGAAAACAAAGUUGAGGUUCAUA